AUGAACCCCACUUUGCCACUCCAGUUGAGAUCUGGGGCUCGGUCUUCGUGCCCUGGUUUCCUUGUUUUGAGAGAGGGCUACUCACGUGGUGUCUACCAGAAACACCUGGGCUGCAUGGAAGACUUCGAGGGCCCAGACCUGGGAACAGCCACUACAGCCAGGAUGCACCGGGAUCCCGGGGAGCGCCCGCAGCUAGGCUGUCCUCGCUGUCAGCUUGAGUCUGAUGUCCCCAGCCCCCAGGCGGGCAGAAGCACAGCAUUUCGCAGGAAGGAAGAAUUCCACACCGCAAGUAAGAUCUCGCUGAUUUGGGAAGAGAAACAGCAGCUCACGUCCUUCAAGACCAAGGUCAAGGGCGUGGUGGAGGACGGAUUACAACAUCUAAACGCAGAGGAAAAUAAAAAGAAACUGGUCCCAAAUCCAAGUUUAUGGAAACCCACCAAGGGAAAUUCAUUUUCGAGAGUAUAUGUGCAUAUAACAAUCUUGCAAAAGGGCAUUGUCUGUGAGGCUCAGGAUUUGGAAGACUCGCACUGCUGUGGAUGUGAAAUGUAAGAUGUUCUUCACUCUAGAGAACAGGCUGGUAUUUCGUUGAUACGGCUCUGUCCUGCGACUGCCCCUCAGUCACACCUUCGGUCCACACCCAGCCCUGCACACUUAGAUCCACGGAGCACGAUGCCAGUGGCCAGCAGGUCCCCUGCUGACGGAGGGAAAGUAAAGUUGCCUGUCCACGGCAGGGAGUGCUGGUCAGCUGCCGAAAGGCAGGAAGCACUGACCCGAAACAGCUCGUGUGAACCCGGGAAAUACUGUGCUGAGUGAAUGAAACCAGGCACACAGAGCCACAUACCACACGAUGAUCCCUUUCCCAUCAAACACAUAGGCUGGGAAAUCCAUAGCCACAGAGAGCGGAGUGUGGUCGCCAGGGGAAAUGUGGAAUGCGAGGUGUCUGCCAGAAUAUCUGGGAGAAAAUAUUCUGGAGUCAGCGUUGAUGGUUGCACGACCUUAUGAAGACUGUGUGCAAUAGACAGGAAGUUUUAUGCAUACGAAUUGUACCCUAAUAAAACAAGAAGUAAAAGUCAAG
rnacentral:lncRNA from 1 species